AUUAUAAAGAUUCAAAUAUUCAUUUAGUAUUAGAAAAUCAGCUAUCUAACUAAUAACUCCGACGCUUGAACUCCAUAUUCAAUCCAUCCGAGAUUAAGCAUUUUGUGACUCUGAAAGAAAAAAAAAAUGGUGUGAGCUUUAUAGCCGAGUGAGAAUAUACCAUACUCACAUAAAUAUAGAUAAAGUAAAUUUAAAAUAAAAUUUAGUUAUAAACCAUAUCAAAAUGCCGGCAAAAUUAUAAAACUUUAUAUUGAUUAUUCAACAUAGUUAAAAUAAAUACAAAUAUCUUAUUAGUCUAAAACUUUUGUUCAACGGUGGUUUUAUAUAUCUUCUAUUAUUAUCUAGUUUACGAUCAAUAAAUUUUCUUUCUUAUUUGGACUAUCAUGGUCAUACUUUGGGCCGUGACCGGUAUCCCAUAAUUUCACGCUUCGAUUUGUAGUAGCAAACUAUAAUAUCCGCACCCUUUAGCUGGUGGUCGCAAACCAUAAUAUUCAAGCUUCUACCUACAAAGACAAACCAAAAUAUUUGCGCUUUAGCCCACGAUGGAAAUCCAUAAUAUCUUUGUUUCAGUCCAUAGUGGUAAACCAAUGUGUCACAAUUGGGCCAAUGAUUGGCAAUCUAUAACAUAUCUAGUCCAAAUCUUUUCAUUCAGCAAUCAAAUUAUUCAAUUUCAUUCAAUCGAGAGAAAAUAUAAUUUUAUAUUA
rnacentral:lncRNA from 1 species